rnacentral:rRNA from 1 species
UACGGAGGGUGCAAACGUUGCUCGGAAUCAUUGGGCGUAAAGCGCACGUAGGCGGCCUGAUAAGUCGGGUGUGAAAGCCCUGGGCUCAACCCAGGAAGUGCACUCGAAACUGUCAGGCUUGAAUAUGGAAGAGGGUCGCGGAGUUCCCGGUGUAGAGGUGAAAUUCGUAGAUAUCGGGAGGAACACCAGUGGCGAAGGCGGCGACCUGGGCCAAUAUUGACGCUGAGGUGCGAAAGCGUGGGGAGCAAACAGG